AACAGCUGCAUCCUGAUUUUGUUGGAAAGUUUAUUUUACAGCAUGUAAUGUUAGCUCACCCUGUGUCCCUGGUAGAGCUUUGACAUAAAGCUCCAUCCUUCCUCUGGGGUCAUUUGGCAACAGCCUGGCAAUCAGGAGAACUUUGUUUAACCUGUGACUGCUGCAUCCCUAUAUAAAUGUGGAUCUAACCCAGUUUCCUUGAAUCUGUGUCUCUCUGUUGACAGCAAGGGAGAGAGGCGGGUUGAUGCAGGAGAGGAAUUACUGUCCUAUUUCUUCGUGCCAGAAUGAGGAACUGGAAACAGGCUGAAGGAGAAAGGAGCUGGAUGGAUGUCCCAGAGACCUUAAAGGCUCAGAGGAAGACUGGCCAGGCUUAGGUUACUGUCCCUCUGCCCCUUCCCUGGUACCUCUGACACCAAUUAGGAGCUGGGCUUAUUAGCUGUUUUCCUGCACCAGUCUCCAAACACCACCGAGCAGCACCUGAGCCUGGUGCAGGAUGCAGUGUCUCAGGAUGCUGCAAACAAGAGAGAGGUGAGCCCGCACCUGGCAAUGGGGAGCCCAGCCGCAGCCAGAUGUGAGCUCCUUCCCCAUCCUCCCCCCUUCCUCUUGCCCUAGCCUCAGGCCAAACAGGGAAAAUCCUUCAGCAGAACCCCAGCUGGGGCUGCUCGCUGCCUUUCCAUAGCAACAGUCCAUCAGGGGGUCGGAGUCAGCAGUGAAAAAUGCUUUCUCGCCUUGCCUGCCGGUCGCUAUUUUGAUUGCAUUCCUGGGGAGCUGGGCUGCAGAUGUGGUCUCCUUAUCUUGGGAAGGUCUGAGUCAGUUUUUCCCUGUGUGAUGGAGCAGGCAGCUGAGGUGUGGAAGAGGAAUAAAUAGCUUCAAAGGCAUGCUGGGGGUGUUGUUUGGUGGGGAAAAUGUGGUGGUACCACUCUCCAUCCUAUACUCAUGGUGCCCACAUGACACAGCACGCCUGGAGGAGAUGAAGGAGAUGUCCCUGCAAAGCAACGUUCAGACAGCCCUGGUGUCUUGGCCUAAGAAAAAGGAGACCAGGAAUGCUGCUCCUUGGAUGACCUGAGGAACAUUCCCACAAGAAAGGCACCUCACAUUCACCCACCAA